AUCAUGACCCUCAGCAACGGAUAUCUUGGCUCUUGCAACGAUGAAGAACGCAGCGAAAUGCGAUACCUAGUGUGAAUUGCAGAAUUCCGUGAAUCAUCGAGUUUUUGAACGCAUGUUGCGCCCGAGGCUUGUCCGAGGGCAUGUCUGUCUGAGCGUCAUC
rnacentral:rRNA from 1 species